rnacentral:rRNA from 1 species
UACAGAGGGGGCAAGCGUUGUUCGGAAUUACUGGGCGUAAAGGGCGCGUAGGCGGCCCGCUAAGUCGAACGUGAAAUCCCUGGGCUCAACCCAGGAACUGCGUACGAUACUGGCAGGCUUGAAUCCGGGAGAGGGAUGCGGAAUUCCAGGUGUAGCGGUGAAAUGCGUAGAUAUCUGGAGGAACACCGGUGGCGAAGGCGGCAUCCUGGACCGGUAUUGACGCUGAGGCGCGAAAGCCAGGGGAGCAAACGGG